UCGCGUGAUCAUGGCGAGAGGGAAACACCCGUUCCCAUCCCGAACACGGCAGUUAAGCCUCUCAGCGGCGGAAGUACUUGGUGGGCAACCUCCCGGAAGAUAUGCACGUUGCGCGGA
rnacentral:rRNA from 1 species